rnacentral:tRNA from 1 species
GGAGAGGUGGCAGAGUGGUCGAUUGUGCAGCACUGGAAAUGCUGUGUACGGGUAACCGUACCGCGGGUUCGAAUCCCGCCCUCUCCG